AGAGUUUGAUCCUGGCUCAGGACGAACGCUGGCGGCGUGCUUAACACAUGCAAGUCGAACGCGCUCCAUUCGGUAGCAAUACUGAUGAAGAGUGAGUGGCGAACGGGUGAGUAGCACGUGAGCAACCUGCCCCGAAGACUGGGACAACACCGGGAAACCGGUGCUAAUACCGGAUACCCCUAUCGGACCGCAUGGUCAGA
rnacentral:rRNA from 1 species